rnacentral:lncRNA from 1 species
UAAUAAUAAUCUCGAAGUUAUCUUGAACACCUACUUAUGUCAGACAUAACCCCAACGUGUCCUUUAUCGGACACAAAGCUCACCAGAAGAGACAGUCAUGGUUAUGCACACAGUUGACAAGUUUUAAUUAAGUUUACUUCUGGUUUGCUAUGACCAGGUGUUAAACAAAGUUUCCAAGUUGCCACAUAACCGUGAGCACGACUUUUUGAAAGAUAUAAUCCUACAAG